rnacentral:rRNA from 1 species
GGAGGAAAAGAAACUAACUAGGAUUCCCUCAGUAGCUGCGAGCGAACAGGGAAGAGCCCAGCACCGAAUCUUGUGACUGGCAACGGUCACCGAGAAAUGUGGUGUUAGGGAGGGACCGUUAUCUCGAAGUAUUUCGGCGCGUCCAAGUCCUUCUUGAACGGGGCCACAGCCCAUAGAGGGUGCCAGGCCCGUAGCGACCGCCGUUUAUAGCGAGAGGUUCUCUCCUCAGAGUCGGGUUGCUUGAGAGUGCAGCCCUAAGUGGGUGGUAAACUCCAUCUAAGGCUAAAUAUGACCACGAGACCGAUAGCGAACAAGUACCGUGAGGGAAAGUUGAAAAGCACUUUGAAGAGAGAGUUCAAGAGUACGUGAAACCGUUUAGGGGUAAACCUGAGAAACCCGAAAGGUCGAUGGGAGAAAUUCAUUCGCGUUUCGGCAGGCGGUGGCGGGCGUUUGUGCGACGGGUCGUCUUCGGGCGAUGCGCGCCUUUCGUCCGUCUCUCACCGUCGUCGAACGCGUGCACUUUUCUCCUAGUAGGACGUCGCGAUCCGUUGGGUGCGGGUAUACGGCCCUCGGUGGAGCCCCCGGGUUGGAUUCACGUCCAUUCCGGGAACCCGAGGUGUCCCUACUCGCUCGCCCGACGGUAUAUUGAUGGCGAGAAGCCGCUACAUUCGUUAGCGUUCGGCCCGCGGCAAGCAAGCCGGGUGCGUCGGCGAUCGGACCUGGUGCCGGUUCUGACCCCCUGCUACUGUUGGCCGCGGUGUUCUCGGACAGACUUCUUUACGCCGAUCGGCGACGCUUUAGCUUUGGGUACUUUCAGGAC